CGGACGGGGUGAGUAAUGUCUGGGAAACUGCCCGAUGGAGGGGGAUAACUACUGGAAACGGUAGCUAAUACCGCAUAACGUCGCAAGACCAAAGAGGGGGGACCUUCGGGCCUCGCGCCAUCAGAUGAACCCAUAUGGGAUUAGCUAGUAGGUGAGGUAACGGCUUACCUAGGCGACGAUCCCUAGCUGGUCUGAGAGGAUGACCAGCCACACUGGAACUGAGACACGGUCCAG
rnacentral:rRNA from 1 species